rnacentral:misc_RNA from 1 species
GGUUAGCCCGCGUUAGGGAUUGCAGUGUAAAGCCCACAGCCCGACGUAGGAGGUGCGAGGACUUGCAACGUAAAGCCCGACCAAUA